rnacentral:rRNA from 1 species
UACGGGGGGAGCAAGCGUUGUUCGGAUUUACUGGGCGUAAAGAGCGCGUAGGCGGCCCGGUAAGUCCGCUGUGAAAGUCAAGGGCUCAACCCUUGAAUGCCGGUGGAUACUGUCGGGCUAGAGUCCGGAAGAGGCGAGUGGAAUUCCUGGUGUAGCGGUGAAAUGCGCAGAUAUCGGGAGGAACACCAAUGGCGAAGGCAGCUCGCUGGGACGUGACUGACGCUGAGACGCGAAAGCGUGGGGAGCAAACAGG